UCUGCGUGUCAGCUGGGUUUUGCACACUAGUUGUGAUUUGCCUAGAUCUGAGCUGUGAUUGGUGCAGCCAGUCUGUGAAUCGAGUAUUUUAAAUAUCAUCUCCUGAAAACCCAGAGACUCAGCGCUGGCUUCCAAUCCGUCAUCAUCCAAGGUCUGUGGAAACCAUGAUGAGAAAAGCCUCCGUCCUGCUGCUGCUGUUUGCUGCCGUGUGCGGGUCUACUCUGAGACCUGGCUUUACAUAUUACAAUGAACCGAAGACAUGGAGCGAAGCACAGACCUUUUGCAGAGAACACCACAGUGAUCUGGCCACCAUCAGAGCCGGAGAAGAGUUGGAGGGUUCGUUUCAUAAUGACGUAUGGAUCGGUUUGUUCAAAACACUAAGACUCCGAGUGGAAAUGGUCGGAAACAGACGAGAUCGCCAACUUCACCAACUGGGCAUUCGGUCAACCAAAACUCAAUGAUGAUAAAUGUGUUGUGAUGUUCAAGCAUAAUCACAAAUGGAAUGACAAGCGAUGUGACAGCAAGUUCAGUUUCUUGUGUUCCGAUGAGA